rnacentral:rRNA from 1 species
GUGUCAGCCGCCGCGGUAAUACGUAGGUGGCAAGCGUUGUCCGGAUUUACUGGGCGUAAAGAGCGCGCAGGCGGUUGUGCAAGUCGCGUGUGAAAGCCCCCGGCUCAACUGGGGAGGGUCACGCGAUACUGCUCAACUCGAAGGCAGGAGAGGGAAGUGGAAUUCCCGGUGUAGUGGUGAAAUGCGUAGAUAUCGGGAGGAACACCAGUGGCGAAGGCGACUUCCUGGCCUGUUCUUGACGCUGAGGCGCGAAAGCUAGGGUAGCAAACGGGAUUAGAAACCCUGGUAGUCC